rnacentral:rRNA from 1 species
UACGUAGGGUGCGAGCGUUGUCCGGAAUUAUUGGGCGUAAAGAGCUCGUAGGCGGUUUGUCGCGUUGUUCGUGAAAACUCACAGCUUAACUGUGGGCGUGCGGGCGAUACGGGCAGACUUGAGUACUGCAGGGGAGACUGGAAUUCCUGGUGUAGCGGUGGAAUGCGCAGAUAUCAGGAGGAACACCGGUGGCGAAGGCGGGUCUCUGGGCAGUAACUGACGCUGUGGCGCGAAAGCUAGGGGAGCAAACGGG